rnacentral:rRNA from 1 species
AUUGAACGCUGGCGGCAUGCUUUACACAUGCAAGUCGAACGGUAACAGGCCGCAAGGUGCUGACGAGUGACGAACGGGUGAGUAAUGCAUCGGAACGUGCCCAGUCGUGGGGGAUAACUACUCGAAAGAGUAGCUAAUACCGCAUACGAUCUAUGGAUGAAAGCGGGGGACCGUAAGGCCUCGCGCGAUUGGAGCGGCCGAUGUCAGAUUAGGUAGUUGGUGGGGUAAAGGCUCACCAAGCCAACGAUCUGUAGCUGGUCUGAGAGGACGACCAGCCACACUGGGACUGAGACACGGCCCAGACUCCUACGGGAGGCAGCAGUGGGGAAUUUUGGACAAUGGGCGCAAGCCUGAUCCAGCAAUGCCGCGUGCAGGAAGAAGGCCUUCGGGUUGUAAACUGCUUUUGUACGGAACGAAACGGCUCUGGUUAAUACCCGGGGCUAAUGACGGUACCGUAAGAAUAAGCACCGGCUAACUACGUG